rnacentral:lncRNA from 1 species
CAACAUAUACAUCAACAAUUGGUUUCAAAUCUGUGCUUGCUGGCUGAGAAGAGGGGUUAAAAGUAUGGGCUCUGACAUCCCAGGAUUGAAUUCUAGCUUGACUUUCGGCAAAUUACAUAAUAUUUCAGUGCCUUAGUCUCCAGCUCUGGAAAAUGAGGAUGAUAAUAAUUGCACGCCCUUAAAAAUUUGUUGUGAGGAGUGUAAAAUAACAUUUUCUCCUUAUGGGAGCAUUUCUCAAGGAUGGAUCAUAACUGACUACUGUGUUUCUCAAGGUUGGCUCCAAACCAGCAGAAGCUGAAUAAAGGACUGUGAACUUGGAAUGACUAUGGGACGCUAGGCUCUUACUGGUCCUAACUGAAGACUUGUUCCCAAACAGUGAAAUUAAUUAAUCAUUUAUUCAGAAUCUCCACUUCCUGCUAGUUGUCCAACUGGCAUGGCAGCAGCUCCUUCCUGCAAAGCAAUGUUGAAGAAGCUAUGGAAGCAAGAAGGAAGCAUGGAUUCUAGAAACUGAUGACAAACCACUUACCCCUAUUGCUCUUCUUCCUAAAGCUAAAGGAUCAAACUGCAUCAUGGAAGCUGCACACGAUGACACCCUGUCCGGAAAGUUUUUGCCAGAGGGCAAAAGACUGCAAGCAGAAUAUCCCUUCACCAUUUCUCAUGAAGCCCUGGAGAGGAUCGUUCAUGGAAACAAGGAUGACGAGUGUGGUAAGAAGUACAGGUGACUCGUGAGUGGGCAGGCAGUGGAAGAGAAGAUGGCUGGAAGGUUUUAGCAUUCAGAAAAAAAUGGAGACAACUAGAGUUGAUCUGAAGAUUAUGGCAGAAUUCAAUAUUGGGGCAAAGAAACAAGAUGGGGGUUAGAAAUUAGAAACAGCAGAGCUCCGCAGGUUGGAAAGGAUUUGAGCAAGAGAACAAAAAGGAGCCUGCUAAUAGCACCCUGGGUUUACAGCAAGAGAAGCACCUGGAGAGAAUUAACUCGGGAGGAGGUGGGGGCAUGGGAAACCUUUUCAUCUCCAAGAGUGGGCAGGAACAGCAGCUGGCCUGAACUUGAAGGUACACCAGGUAGCUUGCCUGGGCCAGGAGAAGGUGAUUCUCUUCUAUACCUCUCUCCAACGCCCCGCUUCUGAUGCUGCUCCUCUACCCAUAUUGAGGGGAAGAUAUAUCCCUAAGAAGUUCCCUGCACCCCAUUUCUUGUUCUGGCUAACUGGUCCCCUAGGAAUUUUUCUCCUAAUUUUCAUUUCCCCUUCUCACCUGGUGAAAUCUUAAAUCUUACUGUUCAAUAAAAGUUCUUCUACCAAAAUUUCUAUACCA